GUGGGAUGAGCAAUGGCAGUGGCAGGGAGAAGAAAGGCGAUGCUGGGUAAAGAAUGCGAAGAGGAUAAUUUAUAUAAUUAAUCACAGCGCUCUGAUCAAUAGAGCGUCAGAGGCCAUUUUCGAUACUGAGUAGAAUGACUUCUCAGAUGUAAUGGACUGCUUGGAAAUCUAUCCUUCUGACUUAGUCCAUAAAGAAGCAGCCAGAACCACGGAGCUGGGGCAGGAGAGGGUGUCAGAGUUGAGAAAUAUUACUUUUGUGGAUCAAUGUGAAAUGAGGCUCUACGUGGUAAAAGUUGUAAGUGUUCUUUCCUAAAGCUGAAAAGCCUCAAAGUUUGUGUCCCUGCGGGUUUCUGAAGACACCGACGGAAAGCCAAAAGUAAUGUAAAGCAGGAGGUCGCAAGUUGCAAGAAGCCACUUAGAGCCUGGGAAUCACCAUACUGACCGAUGGGUACUGGGAGUGAAGAACCAGACAGCGAACCAGUCAGCGAACCACCGGAAAAUAAAUUUAACAUGCCAAAA
rnacentral:lncRNA from 1 species